rnacentral:misc_RNA from 1 species
CAUUAGCAGGAAACCCUUUAUGGUAUUCUAGUUUGCAUUUUUUUUUGGGUUGCAUGCUUAGUUUUAAUAUUAAAUCAACAUGAAAAAGAAUAUAUAAGCAUGAUAAGAUAGCAUACUGUCUUCACAGUGUGUGUUUAACAUCAUAAAAAAUGUUGCUUCCAAAAUCCAGUGUCAAACAUACUAGAAAAGGUGGUGUCAUAUAUAAUACUUCUAAAUUGACAUGAUUGCAUUGUAGAUUAUUGAAAUGGGCUUGCAAGAUUAGGAAUGAUUCUAAUAAAUUAAUGCUGCAAAAGACAGAUGAGUAGAGUGAUUAAGACUGUAGGAUAAAAAUGCUCUUUCAUUUUUAUUUUAAUUUCCUUUGCUUCAAGGUACUCAUUGAGUUGAGAUUACAUUAUUAAUUCUGCGUUUGGCACAACUUUCUGGCAUGGUAUAAAAACUAUAUAAUAGCCUCUAGUUUUGAUAUUGGCAUGAAAUUUUGCUUUAUCAAAUGUCAGAAAAGGUCAAGAUUUUUAUAUGUUUGUUUCUUUAAAGAACCUCUAAAUGGAUCAAAAUGAUAAACUAGAAAUAUAAUCUGUUGAACAUUGUCAAAAUGUGGAUGACAAUUUAAAUUGAUGAGGUAUGGUCUCAUACGGACUUCAGGUUAAAUAUGGUUGGAGAUUCUUGGUAAAAUCAUGCACUUCAUGGACAAGUGUAUCAUAAUUUUAUGAGGCCAUAUGUAAUUGUUUUGUUCAUAAUGUGAGCAUAUUUUGCUAUAGUAUCAUAAGUGCCCACUUGACUAUUUGGUGGAGCAAGGAUGUUUUCAAAGUGCGGUAAAUCAUUUUGUAGCUGGAGGAAUGGAACUCCAGCAUCUGCAUUUAGGAUGUGUGACAUCAUGCUGUGGAUGGAUCCAUUGAAUUUGGAAUUUUAAACUUAUUAAGAUUGGAAUUUGUAUGUAUUAAUAAAUUAUGGUUUAUUUUUAUUUUUAGAUUUUCAUGUGGUCUUAGUUAAUUUUAAGUAGUUCUUCUAGAACUCCCAAUUGAAUGCUCAAUUCACUCCUCAGACAUUAUUUAAGAAGAUAGUUUGAUUUCUGAUAAUUGCUAUCACAUAGCAAAAGAAAAACAACUCAAGAUUUUGUAAUUAUUUGCAUGGCUAGAAAAAAAAAAAUUUAAUAAGCUUGUCUCAUUAGCAUAACGAAAACUCUACAUUGGAAACUCAAUACAGCUUCAGUUUUAAAUGGACCUUUAUAAUGAUUCUCAUGUGGAUGUUCAUGUUUUUGCUUGGACUUCACAUCAGUCAAGCUGUGACAAAAAUUUAUGGUUUAUGCACAUUUAUUAAUGUAGUUAAUUGAGUAGUAGCCAGUUAUGGUUUAAUUUUGUAU